rnacentral:lncRNA from 1 species
AUUAUGUAGUUUGAUAUUUAAACAUGAAUUUUCUAUUGUAUAGACAUUUGUUUUAUAUUUUUGUUUCCUUUUGAUGGUUUAUUGUUUUAUAAUUGUGAAAAUAGGAAGAAAAGGCAAGAGUUGUUAUCAUUUACUGAAUUGACUGACGAUAUGGUGUUAACUGUUGAAGAAAAUGUCAAAAGAGAUCUUAAAAGCUCAACGAAUUCGGAUUGUGAAAGUCCCAUUGAGAAGUCAUCAAUUUGAGCAUGUGGGUCUACUUACUUCUGGAGUGGCGAUUAAGCUUUUCUUAGACUAUUCUUAGAGGCCACCUGCAUAAUGGUCUCACACAAGGUACUUUUUUUUUUAAAAUGAUGAAUGAUGCUGACUCUAUGCCAGCGGAUGUUGGUACGGAACUGACAAAGGACUAAGAACUUUAAAAAGCCCAUGAUAUACACAGUGGCGAAGCUUGACCAAAAGUUUCGAGGGGGCGUAAAGUGAUGGGACCUAAAUUUUUUUCCUAUCGUUAUGUUUCGGGUCGGGUCGGCUGUUCGAUUCAGGUCAGGCCAAAUAAUAAUAGGUCGGAUAAAAAAUCGGACCAUAUACACUUCUAACCGAAACAUUGGGGUGGGCGGGUGCACACUCGGGCAUCCAUUAUACUUCACCCCUAGAUAUACAUGACUACAUGUUUACAGAAAGGAAGAUAGAUACUAAAUAUUUCAGAUUGGCGUAGAGUUGGGAUUAUAUGAAACAUCUAAAGAAAUAUCAGUUGUUUCUUAGACUCACUCGAUACUACAUUUGGUUGAGAAAAUAUAUUAUAUAAAACGGUGUGUGAUUUUUCAUAUUUAUUUGUUAAUGAGAAGCUACUUUGUGUUAAAGGGUAGGGGAUGUUAAAAUAUGUUAAUAACCGUAACUUGGGAACCAGUUGUGAGUAUAGUAACAU